rnacentral:rRNA from 1 species
AUGCGCAUUUUUGAGGCCUUCCAUGCUGGAACAUUGGAUGUUGCCCGUCUUAACUAUGGUAUAAUUACACUGAUCCCUAAAAUGGCAGGGGCUAAGAAAAUUCAGCAAUUUCGCCCCAUUUACCUUCUUCUUUGUCCCUAUAAACUAAUUACUAAAGUGUUGGACAACCGCGUAGCUAUCUAUGCGGAUAAGUUGACCAGCCGGCACCAAAAUGCCUUCAUUAAGAACAGAAACAUCAUGGAUGGAAUUCUGUCCUUGCAUGAGGUGUUGCAUCAUGCUCACAGUAAGAGGAAAGUUGGCGUGGUUUUAAAGCUUGACUUUGAAAAAGCAUACGAUAAAAUCAACUGA